rnacentral:rRNA from 1 species
AACGUAGGUGGCAAGCGUUAUCCGGAAUUACUGGGCGUAAAGGGCGCGUAGGCGGCGUGUCAAGUCAGGCGUGAAAGCCCCGGGCUCAACCUGGGAACCGCGCUUGAGACUGGCAUGCUCGAGUUCGGGAGAGGAUGGUGGAAUUCCCAGUGUAGAGGUGAAAUUCGUAGAUAUUGGGAAGAACACCGAUGGCGAAGGCAGCCAUCUGGACCGACACUGACGCUGAGGCGCGAAAGCGUGGGGAGCAAACAGG